AUGGUGGCUCAUCAUAUGUUUUCGGUUACCACUGGCUUGUGAACGAAUUUUGGAGUAUCUUAGAGACUACUUGGAGCUUGAAACAAUCGGGGAUCAUUAGUUCUUGAUGUUGGAAUUGUUCUUGAAGAUUAAAACUUGUUUGACAAUGUUUAUUCAAGCCAUGAGUGGCUAAGUAUUUUGUGACUAUCUUUGGUGGAUGGUUUGCAAGACAUUUAUGUGUAUUUCCUUAUUUCUAGAAUAACAAUCUUCUCUUUAUUGAAUUGCUUGUUAUGGUAUAUGAUUGUUUGUUAGUAAAUUGUUAAUCCUUAUGUUGAACUAAUUAGAAACCAUACGUUCUUGGUGCCGUUGGCAAUCGAGAUAUCAUGGGUAUAGUUAGGCUUGGGUAACAGGUUAAUUGAUCAUCGGGUAACAACCUCACAUUCUAGGAAUCUGAGUACUUAGUUCCCUUUCAUCACUGCAAUCGAUCAUAUAUGAACUAUGUCUAUGUAGUUCUUUCUAGUGGAAUGUUAGCAUAAGUGUCAUAGCAAACCGGAAACUAAAGAUGGUUACUUGUCUCUAAAUUGUUUACAACCGAAAUUUUUCUCUUUCAAUUUAAUUAGUUAAAUUUAGUUCUAAAACCAAUUCACUCACAUAAAAUCUUGAAU
rnacentral:lncRNA from 1 species